rnacentral:rRNA from 1 species
GAUGAACGCUGGCGGCGUGCUUAACACAUGCAAGUCGAACGAAGCAUUUACGACAGAUUUCUUCGGAUUGAAGUUGUUUAUGACUGAGUGGCGGACGGGUGAGUAACGCGUGGGUAACCUGCCUCAUACAGGGGGAUAGCAGCUGGAAACGGCUGGUAAUACCGCAUAAGCGCACAGCAUCACAUGAUGCAGUGUGAAAAACUCCGGUGGUAUGAGAUGGACCCGCGUCUGAUUAGCUGGUUGGUGAGGUAACGGCCCACCAAGGCGACGAUCAGUAGCCGACCUGAGAGGGUGACCGGCCACAUUGGGACUGAGACACGGCCCAGACUCCUACGGGAGCAGCAGUGGGG